rnacentral:rRNA from 1 species
UACGUAGGGUGCGAGCGUUAAUCGGAAUUACUGGGCGUAAAGCGUGCGCAGGCGGCUAUUUAAGCUUGCUGUGAAAGCCCCGGGCUUAACCUGGGAACUGCAGUGAGGACUGGAUGGCUGGAGUGUGGCAGAGGGGGGUGGAAUUCCACGGUGUAGCAGUGAAAUGCGUAGAGAUGUGGAGGAACACCGAUGGCGAAGGCAGCCCCCUGGGCUAA